AUUGAACGCUGGCGGAAUGCUUUACACAUGCAAGUCGAACGGCAGCACGGACUUCGGUCUGGUGGCGAGUGGCGAAUGGGUGAGUAAUGUAUCGGAACGUGCCCAGUCGUGGGGGAUAACGUAGUGAAAAUUACGCUAAUACCGCAUACGAUCUCUGGAUGAAAGCGGGGGAUCGCAAGACCUCGCGCGAUUGGAGCGGCCGAUAUCAGAUUAGGUAGUUGGUGGGGUAAAGGCCCACCAAACCAACGAACUGUAGCUGGUCUGAGAGGACGACCAGCCACACUGAAACGGAGACACGGUCCAGACUCCUACGGGAGGCAGCAGUGGGGAAUUUUGGACAAUGGGCGAAAGCCUGAUCCAGCCAUUCCGCGUGCAGGAUGAAGGCCCUCGGGUUGUAAACUGCUUUUGUACAGAACGAAAAGGUUUCUACUAAUACUAGGAGCUCAUGACGGUACUGUAAGAAUAAGCACCGGCUAACUACGUGCCAGCCGCCGCUGUAA
rnacentral:rRNA from 1 species